GACGUAGGGCGCGAGCGUUGUCCGGAUUUAUUGGGCGUAAAGAGCUCGUAGGCGGCUUGUCGCGUCGAAUGUGAAAACCCGAGGCUCAACUUCGGGCUUGCAUUCGAUACGGGCAGGCUCGAGUUCGGUAGGGGAGACUGGAAUUCCUGGUGUAGCGGUGAAAUGCGCAGAUAUCAGGAGGAACACCUAUAGCGAAGGCAGCUCGCUGGGACGACACUGACGCUGAGACGCGAAAGCGUGGGGAGCGAACAGG
rnacentral:rRNA from 1 species